rnacentral:rRNA from 1 species
AUUGAACGCUGGCGGAAUGCUUUACACAUGCAAGUCGAACGGCAGCACGGACUUCGGUCUGGUGGCGAGUGGCGAACGGGUGAGUGAUGUAUCGGAACGUGCCCAGUCGUGGGGGAUAACGUAGUGAAAAUUACGCUAAUACCGCAUACGAUCUAUGGAUGAAAGCGGGGGAUCGCAAGACCUCGCGCGAUUGGAGCGGCCGAUAUCAGAUUAGGUAGUUGGUGGGGUAAAGGCCCACCAAGCCAACGAUCUGUAGCUGGUCUGAGAGGACGACCAGCGACACUGGAACUGAGACACAGUCCAGACUCCUACGGGAGGCAGCAGUGGGGAAUUUUGGACAAUGGGCGAAAGCCUGAUCCAGCCAUUCCGCGUGCAGGAUGAAGGCCCUCGGGUUGUAAACUGCUUUUGUACAGAACGAAAAGGUUUCUACUAAUACUAGGAGCUCAUGACGGUACUGUAAGAAUAAGCACCGGCUAACUACGUGCCAGCAGCCGCGGUAA